UACGAAGGGGGCUAGCGUUGCUCGGAAUCACUGGGCGUAAAGGGUGCGUAGGCGGGUCUUUUAAGUCAGGGGUGAAAUCCUGGAGCUCAACUCCAGAACUGCCUUUGAUACUGAAGAUCUUGAGUUCGGGAGAGGUGAGUGGAACUGCGAGUGUAGAGGUGAAAUUCGUAGAUAUUCGCAAGAACACCAGUGGCGAAGGCGGCUCACUGGCCCGAUACUGACGCUGAGAC
rnacentral:rRNA from 1 species